CUUAGGGUUUAUAAUUUUUUGGACUUAGAAAACUUUUCAGUUUUGGACUUCUCGCCGCACCCGCUCCUCUCGUUUCUCUCCAAAGUCCAAAGUCCAAAAAUUCUACAGGCAACGCGAGUUGUUGCUCCUGCCUCUCACGUGAGGCGACGAGUCUAACCAACGAAUCAGGAUUUUACUCCAAUAACUGAAGCAUCCAGCGAAGCGACGACUAUUCUAGUCAAGCAGUCACUCAGGCAAGGAAGCAAGGUGUACUCAGCUAUUCCAGUAUCACUGACUCAGGUUCUCGAUUUAUGCAGUUGGUUAUUGAAUAUGAAGGUGCAAUUGUAGAGUACGCUAAUGGUGAUAUUGGCAUGACACUACAUCUUAAGUUUGUUGAUACCGUGGAUAAAAAUUGUACAGAUGACUCGAGAUGUGUUGGCUAUUCCCGUUUCAAGUUUGGCGUCUGAAUGUGCCUUUAGUACAGGCGGGUGCAUACCUGAUUCAUUUAGGAGUUUAUUAACUCCUAAAAUUUUACAAGCUCUAGUGCCUUCAAGAAUGGUUUCGAAGUGAUCCACAACCCAUAAGUAUUAAAAAAAGAUUUAGAUUUUCUUGAGCAACUUGAAAAAGAUUUCAUAAUGCCUCGACUGCAUGGUUCUAAUGCUCGAUCACCGAUUUGGAAUCACUGUGAAAAACUUGAAGAAAAAGAAGAUGGAUCGUGGACAGUGAAAUGUAUUCAUUGUGGCCGAAUUACUUAUUACCAUUCGCACUAUAAUGGACUUCCUCCUUAAGAAAGCUUAUUAAGCGUUAUUUGGAAAAUAGAAACCAAAAUCGUCAACCAGCAAGGAUUGAUGACUAGUUAUUAUUUUGCUUACUUGAACAUUAAAUAUUAGCACUAUGUUUGGACUUAAUUUUUCGGUUGUCUGACUGCUAUUUUUUAAAUUUUGUUUUUGCAUGUGUGGGCUGUGGCAGACUGCAGUGACUUUAUGUUAAGACAAUUUUAAGUUGUGCUGCAUUUUGAAUUCUCCAAUGUUGCAGGCUUGCAGCUUGUAGUACUACUGUUUAUUUCAUUAUUUCAUUAUGAUAUUUCAUACAUGUGUUGAGAUAUGAGAAGUUUA